CGAUUAGGUAGUUGGUUAGGUAACGGCUUACCAAGCCGUUGAUCGGUACGGGUUGUGAGAGCAAGAGCCCGGAGGUGGAACCUGAGACAAGGUUCCAGGCCCUACGGGGUGCAGCAGGCGCGAAACCUCCGCAAUGUGAGAAAUCGCGACGGGGGGAUCCCAAGUGCCAUUCUUAACGGGAUGGCUUUUCAUUAGUGUAAAAAGCUUUUGGAAUAAGAGCUGGGCAAGACCGGUGCCAGCCGCCGCGGUAACACCGGCAGCUCUAGUGGUAGCAAUUUUUAUUGGGCCUAAAGCGUCCGUAGCCGGUUUAAUAAGUCUCUGGUGAAAUCCUGUAGCUUAACUGUGGGAAUUGCUGGAGAUACUAUUAGACUUGAGACCGGGAGAGGUUAGAGGUACUCCCAGGGUAGAGGUGAAAUUCUGUAAUCCUGGGAGGACCGCCUGUUGCGAAGGCGUCUAACUGGAACGGUUCUGACGGUGAGGGACGAAAGUUAGGGGCGCGAACCGGAUUAGAUACCCGGGUAGUCCUAACUGUAAACGAUGCGGACUUGGUGUUGGGGUGGCUUUGAGCUGCUCCAGUGCCGAAGGGAAGCUGUUAAGUCCGCCGCCUGGGAAGUACGGUCGCAAGACUGAAACUUAA
rnacentral:rRNA from 1 species